rnacentral:rRNA from 1 species
GAUCCUGGCUCAGGACGAACGCUGGCGGCGUGCUUAACACAUGCAAGUCGAACGAGAAUCUACGGAUCGAGGAUUCGUCCAAGUGAAGUAGAGGACAGUGGCGGACGGGUGAGUAACGCGUGAGGAACCUGCCUUUCAGAGGGGGACGAACAGUUGGAAACGACUGCUAAUACCGCAUGACACAUUGGGGUCGGCAUGGCCCUGAUGUCAAAGAUUUAUCGCUGAAAGAUGGCCUCGCG